GGCUGGGGACCGUUGGACCUGGCACCUCCUCCUCCCUCUUGCUGUCUAGCUCAGGACUUCAGUGGUUCUGCUCUGCCAGCCUUCUGCACCAUGGUGUGCUGCUCCUCACAGGUCCUCAUGCAGUUGGACCAACCAACCAAGGACGGAAUCUUCCAAACUAUGCGCCUGUUUACCUGGUCUGCCAAAGAGACCAAAGGAGAGUCAGGACGCUGCCACCACAUGUGGUCGGCAUAGUUGCUUUGUGUGAACCGGAAGUGCUCAAACUUAGCCAAAGAAAGUUUUCUCCUGUGGGAGAGAGGAGAGGAGAGGACGUGACUGAGUGUAAAGGGCUGCAUUUGAUGUCCAUGCUGUCUGUCCCCACUGUCUGCCACAUCUUCUGCUCCCACCAUACACUGGUUCUGGUGUGGUCCCUCUAGCCACAUGGAAGUCCUUUCCAAGAGGUGUGUGAUUUUCUUUGUGAAUCUAGGAAAUAAAACAGCUU